UGGUCCAGGGCUACACACGUGACUACAAUGGGUGGUAACAAAGGAGCAGCGACCUCGCGAGUGGAAGCAAAUCUCAAAAACCCAUCCUCAAGUUCGGAUUGGAGUCUGCAACUCGACUCCAUGAAGUUGGAAUCGCUAGUAAUCGCGGAUCAGCAUGCCGCGGUGAAUACGUUCCCGGGCCUU
rnacentral:rRNA from 1 species